GAGGGUACAGCUCAGUGGUAGAGUAUGUGCCUAGCAUGCAUGAGGUCCUGGAUUCAAUCCCCAGUACCUCUG
rnacentral:tRNA from 1 species